AGUCUGGUGCCAGCAGCCGCGGUAAUUCCAGCUCCAAUAGCGUAUAUUAAAAUUGUUGCGGUUAAAACGUUCGUAGUUGAACUUGUGCUUCAUACGGGUAGUACACCUAAAAUUUGGGUUAGUACAUUACCUUAUUGUAUGUAAGCGUAUUACUGGUGGAGCAUCUAUAUACUAUAUUUUUAUUAAUAUAGUAUAUAUUUCUCCUACUAAACCUGAUUCAAUGCUCUUCACCGAGUGUUGUUUUGGGCCAGUACAAUUACUUUGAACAAAUUAGAGUGCUUAAAGCAGGCUCUUAAUGCCUGAAUAUUCUGUGCAUGGAAUAAUGGAAUAAGACCUCUGUUCUAAUUUCAUUGGUUUUUAGAUCAAGAGGUAAUGAUUAAUAGAAGCAGUUGGGGGCAUUAGUAUUACGACGCGAGAGGUGAAAUUCUUGGACCGUCGUAAGACUAACUUAAGCGAAAGCAUUUGCCAAAGAUGUUUUCAUUAAUCAAGAACGAAAGUUAGAGGUUCGAAGGCGAUCAGAUACCGCCCUAGUUCUAACCAUAAACGAUGCCAACCAGCAAUUGGGUGUAGCUACUACUAUGGCUCUCUCAGUCGCUUCCCGGGAAACCAAAGUUUUUGGGCUCCGGGGGAAGUAUGGUUGCAAAGCUGAAACUUAAAGGAAUUGACGGAA
rnacentral:rRNA from 1 species